rnacentral:lncRNA from 10 species
UUUCCAUGGAGCCUGAGACUUAUGAUGCCAGGUGCCUGGACAAAGCUUCCAGGUGAUGGUGGCAGUGUCCCAGAGAAGGGAAAGCAUGGCAUUCUGGGAGCACAGGGCCAGGAGCACCCGGGUUUGAAUGUCAGCUCCCCGUUUUCCAGCCCUUGGACGUGUUACCUGUCUGGACAUCAGCCUCAGAAUAAUAAUAGCCCUGAGCUUCAGGUUAAGGAAAUCCUCUUAUGAGAUAGAG